AUUAACCCNUUAAUGAGCCCAUUAAUAGGCCCAUUCAUUAACGAGCCCAUUCAUUAAUAGGCCCAUUCAUUAAUGAGCCCAUUCAUUCAUCCAUUAACCACAUUCCCAGGCCCCAUUUUGGGGCCAAACCCCCUCUUUUUGGGGCCACCCCCCCUUGCAUCACUGUUAAGGGGGGGGGGGAUGCUCUGAUGUCCUCAAUGACCCCCAAAAUCCACCUUUUUCACCUCAAAACAACCCCCCCCCCCAUCUUUGGGGGUCAAACACUGGGUUUUUUGGGCCACUUUGGGGGCCACAGCAGCGCACCAGCCCCGUUUUUGGGGGCAAACCCGGCCUUUUUGGUCCAUUCCUGGGGAGCACCAACCUCCGGUCACCGGCACCUGCGGGGGGGAACCCCAAAAUCCCGGGUUUUGGACCCAAAACCAGCUCCAAUGGCGAGCCCCAAAACUCCUCUUUUUUGGGGAAUUUUUACCCAUUUUUACCUGUUUUUGGCAGGUUUCACCUGGUUUUCCCCAUUUUUAAUGGGGUUUGUCCCAUUUUCACCUCUUUUCCGGCAGUUUUACGACUUUUUGUCCAUUUUUAACCAUUUUUCUCCAUUUUUACCUCAUUUUUCCCCAUUUUCACCUCAGUUUCCUCUUCUUU
rnacentral:lncRNA from 14 species